rnacentral:misc_RNA from 1 species
AACGCACAUUGCGCCCCUUGGUAUUCCGGGGGGCAUGCCUGUUCGAGCGUCAUUUCAACCCUCACGCGUAGCGUGGUCUUGGGCUCUGCCGGCAACGGCUUGCCUUAAAAUCAGUGGCGGUGCCCUCGAGCUCUACGCGUAGUAAUAAACCCCUCGCGUGUGAGCCUCGGCGGUCGCUUGCCAGCAACCCCCAAUUUUUUUAUGGUUGACCUCGAAUCAGGUAGGGAUACCCGCUGAACUUAA